AUGGCGGCUAACGUAGUGCAAGCCCUGGCCGCUGUCCUCACACUGCUGGUGAUCACAAGAGCGCUAUGGUAUCUGCUUUGGAGGCCAUACGCUGUGGCCAGGUGGUUCGAGCAGCAGGGCAUCAGAGGUCCGCCUUACAAAUUCCUGGUUGGGUCCCUGCCCGACUGCCAAAGGAUGCUCGUUGCCGGGAGAGUCAAGGAUCUGGACACGAGCUCCCACGACUGCAUCACCACCGUGCAACCCUUCUUCCGGAAAUGGGCCUCACUGUAUGGAAAAACAUUCCUGUACUGGUUGGGACCGACACCAGCACUGUGUACUACAGACAUAGAAAUAGUGAAGAAAGUGUUAAGCGACAGGACAGACAUGUUCCAAAAAGAUUACUUGAAUCCCAGUUUGGAAGCAAUUCUAGGGAACGGGGUAAUAUUUGCAAACGGAGACGACUGGAAGCGGCGGCGCAAAUUCAUCCACCCGGCUUUCAGCCAAGAGAAGAUCAAGUCCAUGUCAGCAAUAACGUUGGAGUGCACACAGCAGAUGAUGGAACAGUGGCGCACUCAAAUGCAGGAGAGCAACAUGCAGCAAGCCGAGAUCGACAUGAGGUACGACUCCGAUGACAUAGCAAUGCGUGUCAUAGCACGAGUGAUGCUGGGCAAGAACUACAGGGAGGCCUGGGAAGUGUUCAUGGCAGGAAGGGAGCAACUGAAGCUCGCCGCGUAUGCAUUUGCGGAUCCUCCAGUACCUGGAUUCAGGUACCUGCCGACACGUCGCAACCGUCGGACCUGGCAACUCGACAAGCUUGUGAGAAGCAAGAUUACAGAGAUCAUAAAGGCGCGGCUUGCUAGCAGUGUCUAUGGAGACGACCUGCUCGGGCAGAUGUUGUGGCUGCAGAGGUCGGGUGCUGGCGCCAACGCCGAGACCCUGAGCACGGAGGAGAUGGUCGGCGAGUGCAGGACCUUCUUCAUGGCUGGGUACGAAACCAGCGCCAACCUCAUUACCUGGGCCAUGUUCCUGCUCGCCAGCCACCCACGGUGGCAGGAGAUGGUCAGGGACGAGGUCGUCCAGGAGUUUCCUGCUCACAAGCCACCCUUAGGUGACGGCCUCGGCAAAUUGAAGCUGCUCAACAUGUUACUCUGGGAGACAUUGAGGCUCUAUGGCCCCAUAUCAUUCCUGCAGAGGAAGACAGCCUCAGACACAAUCCUCACACAUGUGAAGGUGCCGAAAGGAACGAUGAUAACGAUACCUCUGGUGAUGUUGCACCGGGACAAAGAGGUCUGGGGACCCGACGCCGACGAGUUUAACCCAAUGAGGUUCCAGAAUGGCUUCGCGAGAGCCGCCAAGCAUUCACAUGCACUGCUGGCCUUCUCGUAUGGGCCUAGGGUCUGUGUCGGGCAGAACUUUGCCAUGGUGGAGGUGCAGAUCGUCAUAGCGACGAUGCUCAAAAGUUUCUCCUUCUCCCUGUCCCCCACUUAUGUGCACAAGCCGAGCAAUUUCGUCACAUUGACGCCCAAGUACGGGCUCCCUCUCAUCGUGAGGAACCUGCAGCUGACUAGGUGA
rnacentral:rRNA from 1 species